rnacentral:lncRNA from 1 species
AAGAAGAAGUGGUGUCCAUGUCUGAUAUGUGUGUGGAGACCAAAGCCAGCAGCUCAUUAUCUUCAGGCAUGUUGAAGGGAUGYGGACCAGCAGGUUGUGAGUUGGUGUGUCUACGACCCAGGGGAAUCAAGUGGUCUCUGCCAGAUACAUUUCCUGUCCACCUUCGAGCACGUGAUCUGUCCCCUGCCAUCCCUGACCCUUCAGCAUCAUCAGGGUGGCUCACUGAUGCCUGUCUGAAAACAGUAUGUAGGUGAUUGUGCCAGGA